rnacentral:rRNA from 1 species
CCCUUAGAUGUUCUGGGCCGCACGCGCGCUACACUGAUGCAUUCAACGAGUUUCUUCCUGGUCCGAGAGGAAUGGGUAACCUUUUGAAAGUGCAUCGUGAUAGGGAUAGACUAUUGCAAUUAUUGGUCUUCAACGAGGAAUUCCUAGUAGACGUAGUUCAUCAGACUGCAUCGAUUACGUCCCUGCCCUUUGUACACACCGCCCGUCGCUACUACCGAUUGAACGUUUUAGUGAGGCAUUUGGACCGACGCAUCUCAGUUUAACCGCUGGUUUGUGUUGGAAAGACUUCCAAACUUGAGCGUUUAGAGGAAGUAAAAGUCGUAACA